CACACCGCCCGUCACACCAUGGGAGUUUGUUGCACCAGAAGCAGGUAGCUUAACCUUCGGGAGGGCGCUUGCCACGGUGUGGCCGAUGGCUGGGGUG
rnacentral:rRNA from 1 species